GAGUGGAAACGGGGAGCAGGUCUGGAGCCAGUAUUCCUCUCGGCACGCGUUUGCCUCUAGAGUCUGGAUGAAGAUCCUCAGACUGAGGUCUACCUCUUCAACAUCUAACCUCAAGAAAGGCAGGACAAAUUCCUUCAGCACCUCGUCUGGCUCAAGAAGAGCAGCCACUGGAAUCCCUUGGGGUUUCACGGGACUCAUCAGGCAGUUCAGGAGCUCUAAAAAUUGCUUUUCUUCCUUGGGUGUAGAGAACUUCAUCCAGACGGUUUCUUUGAGGCAUGACACCAUGAAAGUGGCAGAUGAAUUGGGACCCUGCUCUUCCACAAACCUAAGGGCAGGGAAGGCAGUGAGAAUCUGGGCCAGGAACUUGUGGGUGCCGAGAUUGACCACAGCCAGAUGGCCAUGGCAAUGGAAGCCGUGAUGUCCUCCAAGGCCCUGUUCUUCAGCACCGUGCUCGUUUUCCUCAGGAAGUCCCUGACACACUCCGCCAGCUCAGAGACCACCUGCCUGUCCUCCUUGGACAGGCUGGUGCGGUUCAGGUAGAGCGUCGCGUUCUGGCUGAAGGAAGUCAGACUGUCGCACAGCCGGUAGCUGUCGUAACUUGUCCCCUGGCUGCUGCGGAGCACGGCCUGCAACUCCUCCCCCCACUCCCGCAGCAGGCGGUGCAGGAACUCGCAGCCCACGAAAAUGGUCUCACUGGGGAGUUUGGCCAGCGAGGUCAGGCUGACAUCCCGUUCUGCCUCUUUCACCUUCUCUGCCAGCGCCUGCUGGUGGUAGGGAUUCUGGGUGUCCGAGUUCCACACGGAGAUCAC
rnacentral:lncRNA from 1 species